UUCGACCUUUUCCUGUCAUGUUUCCAAUACUGCGCGGUGGGAGGUACACAAUGUGCUGGUGAGUGCGGUUGGAACGGGUCGCCCCAAGUCCAAACUUCCUCAGAAAUGCAGCUUGAAUUACUGAAACGUCUUCUCGCACUAGCGGAGCACAAUGAUCUGCCUAUUGAGAUGUGGAGUU